ACUGCUCAGUAACACGUGGACAACCUGCCCUAAGGUCUGGAAUAACCCCGGGAAACUGGGGAUAAUACCGGAUAAGCCAUAGAUGCUGGAAUGCUCUGUGGUUAAAAGCUCCGGCGCCUUAGGAUGGAUCUGCGGCCUAUCAGGUAGUAGUGGGUGUAAUGUACCUACUAGCCUACGACGGGUACGGGUUGUGAGAGCAAGAGCCCGGAGAUGGAUUCUGAGACAUGAAUCCAGGCCCUACGGGGCGCAGCAGGCGCGAAAACUUUACAAUGCGGGAAACCGCGAUAAGGGGACACUGAGUGCCAGCACCAUGUGUUGGCUGUCCGCAUGUAUAAAUCACAUGUGUCAGCAAGGGCCGGGCAAGACCGGUGCCAGCCGCCGCGGUAACACCGGCGGCCCGAGUGGUGGCCAUUAUUAUUGGGUCUAAAGGGUCCGUAGCCGGUUUGAUCAGUCUUCCGGGAAAUCUGACAGCUCAACUGUUAGGCUUCUGGGGGAUACUGUCAGACUUGGAACCGGGAGAGGUAAGAGGUACUACAGGGGUAGGAGUGAAAUCUUGUAAUCCUUGUGGGACCACCAGUGGCGAAGGCGUCUUACCAGAACGGGUUCGACGGUGAGGGACGAAAGCUGGGGGCACGAACCGGAUUAGAUACCCGGGUAGUCCCAGCCGUAAACGAUGCUCGCUAGGUGUCUGGGAUGGUGCGACCGUUUCAGGUGCCGCAGGGAAGCCGUGAAGCGAGCCACCUGGGAAGUACGGCCGCAAGGCUGAAACUUAAAGGAAUUGGCGGGGGAGCAC
rnacentral:rRNA from 1 species